CCUACGGGUGGCAGCAGUAGGGAAUCUUCCUCAAUGGGGGAAACCCUGAAGCAGCAACGCCGCGUGGGGGAUGAAGGUUUUAGGAUUGUAAACUCCUUUUGUUAGAGAAGAUCAUGACGGUAACUAACUAAUAAGCACCGGCUAAUUCCGUGCCAGCAGCCGCGGUAAUACGGAGGGUGAAAGCUUUACUAGGAGUCACUGGGCGUAAAGAGUGCGUAGGUGGGGUAAUAAGUCAGAUGUGAAAUCCUUUUGCUUAACUGCAGAAGUGCAUUGGAAACUGGUACUCUGGGGUGUGGGAGAGGUAGGUGGAAUUCUUGGUGUAGGGGUAAAAUCCGUAGAGAUCAGGAGGAAUACUCGUUGCGAAGGCGACCUGCUGGAACAUAACUGACGCUGAUGCACGAAAGCGUGGGGAGCAAACAGGAUUAGAUACCCGAGUAGUC
rnacentral:rRNA from 1 species